AUUGCUUCCAAUAGACUGCCCUCGAGGUUACCCACAAAAAACAGAGAUGGAAACUCUGCUUUUGGAAAACUCCUCGAAGUGAGGAGUUCCAAUUUUCAACAAAAACUGGCUUCUUGGUUUCUGACUUGGUAUCUAAAGCCCAGUGCCUGGCCUUCCUUCGAAGGUAUCUCGUCUGGGCCACGCGCAGAGUCUCUCCCCAGCGAUGAUGAGCUCCAGAGCUUCCGCUGGAAGUCGCAGCCACCCUCUGCCGCCUUCAGGGCCGGCCAGCAACUUCUUUCACAAUCUUCCCCAAGUUUGGAAGCUUCCAUCAAGUGUCCUGGCUCUGGCCCAUCCGUCUUCUGUCUCCGGGCUUCCCCGGACUCUCAAGCUUGCCAGCCUGGGGCUCCGGACCCCCUGCACCCCGGCGGAGCUCAGUCUUGGGCCUCCCCCGGGGGUCCCUCCUUUCCCCGCCUUUACCUGACGCCCGCCAGCCCGCCCGCGGCUUGGGGCUCAGCAGCCUCCUCCCACCGCCGGCCCUUCCAUUGGCUCGGGCGGCUGCCCGUCUCUCCCUUCAGCCCUUGCUCGGGACCGGAGGCAGGUUUUGCCAAAGGAGCGGUCGCCGCUCCAGCUCCAGCCCGGGCAGCAGCUCCGGGAGGAGAGAGCAGGCAGGGCAAGCGGGCGCGGGAGGGAACGGUGGAACGGGGUGUCGCUGCUGGCGCCUGCUUAGCAUGUCCCUGCGUACAGGAGUCCCCCCACGACGCCGCCGCCUCCCCAGCACCGGCACCAGCAGCAGUAACAGCAGCAGCAGCGCCACCGCCGCCGACUGCGGAGCAGCAAACUUGGCGGCGGUGUCUCCCUGCCCCGAGCUGGCCAUGUAGCAGCCCGCGGUGCUUCCCCUGGACCGCCGUGCGCGCCUCUCCCCACCUGGCCAGGGGGAAGAGAGUGAGAACCAACCCGAGGCUAGGCAGCGCGGCAUGCACACCGCAGACGCGGGCCCCUGACGUGGGCGUCCCGAGUAGUGUCCCGGACCCGGGGUCAGUCCCCUUCGGCCGGUGCCGGGGCUGCACUUUGGGGAGAGCGAGGGAAAUGGGCGAGAAACUUUCGGAGCCGCCGGAGCUAGUGCCCCGCCGCGGCUGCAGUAACAGCAGCAACAGCCUGAUCCCGGCUCUGGCAGCCGUUCCCGCUGCAGCCGCGUCCCCCUGCACCGACUCAUCUGUGUCCUCUUCUGGCUCCGAAACUCUGUCGGAGGACGGGGAGCCUAGUGCCCAGACCACCUCCUCCUGCGGUCAGCAGCAGCAGCCGCCACUGCCGCCUCCUCCUGCUCAGCCAGACCCGGGCGCAGAAGGGCCGGGAGAAGCUCGACAGCGGCUGCAGCUGGAGCCGCAGGCGGAUCGCUGUGCUGCCCGGCAGCCCGCUAGCCUGGGAGCCGUGCUGCCCGGGGCUGAGCGCAGCAGCGCGUCGCAGGAGGAACAAGAUGAAGAGGAAAACAUGACAUAAUGAAUUAUUGUUCUACAAAAGUUUACUUUUGGAAUUGGC
rnacentral:lncRNA from 1 species